rnacentral:rRNA from 1 species
CCUACGGGUGGCAGCAGUGAGGAAUAUUGGUAAAUGGGCGCGAGCCUGAACCAGCCAAGUAGCGUGAAGGAUGACUGCCCUACGGGUUGUAAACCUCUUUUGCCGGGGAGCAACGGGCGCCACGUGUGGCGUCACUGAGAGUACCCGGAGAAAAAGCAUCGGCUAACUCCGUGCCAGCAGCCGCGGUAAUACGGAGGAUGCGAGCGUUAUCCGGAUUUAUUGGGUUUAAAGGGUGCGUAGGCGGAUCGUUAAGUCAGUGGUCAAAUUGAGGGGCUCAACCCCUUCCCGCCAUUGAAACUGGCGUUCUUGAGUGGAAGAGAAGUAUGCGGAAUGCGUGGUGUAGCGGUGAAAUGCAUAGAUAUUACGCAGAACCCCGAUUGCGAAGGCAGCAUGCCGGCUUCCGACUGACGCUGAAGCACGAAAGCGUGGGGAUCGAACAGGAUUAGAUACCCUAGUAGUC